GCGGAAAUGUGGUAACAAUAGAAAUGGCCACUCUCUCAUUUUCGAUAUUUCGCCUCCUGUACAUUUAUCUUUGGGAAAAGGUGGGUCAUGUUGCAUAUCAGAUUCAAGGGAAUUCAGAGAGGAAUACAACGGUGUAUAAACUGUUUCUCUACUCCGAACGGUUGACGAGAAAAUCGGGAAAAACCGAAAAAAAUGACACUCAUUUUUUCUGGUUUUUGCCGUUUCUACGACUUGUCGUAAACCUGAGAAAUCCGACACUGAGAAAAUAAGAAACGGCAUGACCUGCGCUUGAAUUUGGUACAUAAAUUAUCUCUGUAAGUGAAACGGUUGCCGAGAAAAUGGCGGAAAAGUGGUAACAAUAGAAGCGGCCACUUUCUCAUUUUCCAUAUUUCGCCUCCUGUACAUUUAUCUUUGGGAAAAAGUUCGUCAUGUUGCAUAUCGAAUUCAAGGAAAU
rnacentral:lncRNA from 1 species